AUUGGGACUGAGAUACGGCCCAGACUCCUACGGGAGGCAGCAGUGGGGAAUAUUGCACAAUGGGCGCAAGCCUGAUGCAGCGACGCCGCGUGCGGGAUGACGGCCUUCGGGUUGUAAACCGCUUUUGACUGGGAGCAAGCCCUUCGGGGUGAGUGUACCUUUCGAAUAAGCACCGGCUAACUACGUGCCAGCAGCCGCGGUAAUACGUAGGGUGCAAGCGUUAUCCGGAAUUAUUGGGCGUAAAGGGCUCGUAGGCGGUUCGUCGCGUCCGGUGUGAAAGUCCAUCGCUUAACGGUGGAUCCGCGCCGGGUACGGGCGGGCUUGAGUGCGGUAGGGGAGACUGGAAUUCCCGGUGUAACGGUGGAAUGUGUAGAUAUCGGGAAGAACACCAAUGGCGAAGGCAGGUCUCUGGGCCGUCACUGACGCUGAGGAGCGAAAGCGUGGGGAGCGAACAGGAUUAGAUACCCUGGUAGUCCACGCCGUAAACGGUGGAUGCUGGAUGUGGGGACCAUUCCACGGUCUCCGUGUCGGAGCCAACGCGUUAAGCAUCCCGCCUGGGGAGUACGGCCGCAAGGCUAAAACUCAAAGAAAUUGACGGGGGCCCGCACAAGCGGCGGAGCAUGCGGAUUAAUUCGAUGCAACGCGAAGAACCUUACCUGGGCUUGACAUGUUCCCGACAGCCGUAGAGAUACGGUCUCCCUUCGGGGCGGGUUCACAGGUGGUGCAUGGUCGUCGUCAGCUCGUGUCGUGAGAUGUUGGGUUAAGUCCCGCAACGAGCGCAACCCUCGCCCCGUGUUGCCAGCGGAUUAUGCCGGGAACUCACGGGGGACCGCCGGGGUUAACUCGGAGGAAGGUGGGGAUGACGUCAGAUCAUCAUGCCCCUUACGUCCAGGGCUUCACGCAUGCUACAAUGGCCGGUACAACGGGAUGCGACGCGGCGACGCGGAGCGGAUCCCUGAAAACCGGUCUCAGUUCGGAUCGCAGUCUGCAACUCGACUGCGUGAAGGCGGAGUCGCUAGUAAUCGCGAAUCAGCAACGUCGCGGUGAAUGCGUUCCCGGGCCUUGUACACACCGCCCGUCAAGUCAUGAAAGUGGGCAGCACCCGAAGCCGGUGGCCUAACCCCUUGUGGGAUGGAGCCGUCUAAGGUGAGGCUCGUGAUUGGGACUAAGUCGUAACAAGGUAGCCGUACCGGAAGGUGCGGCUG
rnacentral:rRNA from 1 species